rnacentral:rRNA from 1 species
AUACGGAGGGUGCGAGCGUUAAUCGGAAUUACUGGGCGUAAAGCGUACGUAGGCGGUUUGCUAAGUCAGAUGUGAAAGCCCCGGGCUUAACCUGGGAACUGCAUUUGAUACUGGCAGACUAGAGUAUGAUAGAGGGGGGUAGAAUUCCUGGUGUAGCGGUGAAAUGCGUAGAUAUCAGGAGGAAUACCAGUGGCGAAGGCGGCCCCCUGGAUCAAUACUGACGCUGAGGUACGAAAGCGUGGGGAGCGAACAGGAUUAGAAACCCGAGUAGUCC